rnacentral:rRNA from 1 species
UACGUAGGUGGCAAGCGUUGUCCGGAAUUAUUGGGCGUAAAGCGCGCGCAGGCGGUCCUUUUAAGUCUGAUGUGAAAGCCCACGGCUCAACCGUGGAGGGUCAUUGGAAACUGGGGGGACUUGAGUGCAGGAGAGAAGAGUGGAAUUCCACGUGUAGCGGUGAAAUGCGUAGAGAUGUGGAGGAACACCAGUGGCGAAGGCGACUCUUUGGCCUGUAACUGACGCUGAGGCGCGAAAGCGUGGGGGAGCAAACAGG